GGACUUGUGCCUGAAUUUAAAGGGCCACUUUGAUAGAGUGAAUAAUGGAGGUUAAAGCCCUCCCAACUCCU
rnacentral:tRNA from 1 species